rnacentral:lncRNA from 1 species
CCCCGCCCCCCCGCGCGUGCCGCCCGAUGACGCAGCCGCGCCGCGACGUGGGGAUUCCGCCGGAUUACCCGGCGUGCCCCGCGGCAAAAUGGCGGCCUGAGGCGAGAGCGCGGGGCCGGGGCCGGGCGGGGGCAAAGUUUGGGGCGGGCCCGAGGCGGGGCCGAACCGGCGCCGAACCGGCCGCAAAGUCACUGGGACCCCUGGUGGAGCCGAGCCCGACCGGAUGCAGAGAAGGAACUGGGAUAAAGGGCCUGUAUAAGAUGAAGCAAUGAAUCCUUACUGAAGUGUCAGACAGCAGGCACCCAGUGCUCUUGAAAUCCUGUGAAUGCAUUUCAGCAGGGCCAGUGGAGUUCCAAAGUGCAGCCCAUGGUUAUUUUCAUCUUUUUAACAUUAACAAGGCAUUGGGUCAGGAGGGGAUGAGUUACUUGCCAAGACCUGUUGCCUCUUCACUCUCCAAACCAGCUUUCUGAACUAAAGAUGACCUUGCGUGCUUUUCCACUCUGUUUCAAGUUGUUUGUUGGCUCCUGCUAAGUCACUUGCUUUACAGCCAACAAACCCUCAAUUCUUAUCUCUGCCAUCCACUCUAAAUACAGUCAUGGUGUAGCUUGUCAGGGAGAUAGGCUAAAGCCUUGAAAAAGAUGUAGUCUUUUGCAAGUCUACCUGUUUCUUGUCACAGAGCAGAAAAAAUCAAGUCAGAGGGCACAAAUUAAUUUUGGUUGGCAUGCUGGUCUGAUUGGUACCAGAGCUGGCUUGGAAAAAGGGCUUGUGGCUGGUGUGGCAUAUAAAGUGUUUUUAAAAAGAUGAAAAAAGCUAUUUGAGGGGUAACAAAGUAAGCGGGUUUUAGUAAAAUGUAUUUUACUGUAUUUUUUGGUAGUUGAUUUCAUGCUUGUGAGUCUUAGAGGCUGAUGGUUUUUCUGAAGGUGAGCUCCCUAACCUGUUAAAAUGUCUGCCAUAUUAUAUGGAGAAUCCACUGAAAAGUGGAUUCUGAGAUUUCCAUGUAUCACCACAUCUACAGUGUAGACCCAAGAAGCAGUUCUGGAGGUUAGGUCCUGACAGAUUUACUGCAUAGUGUGUUUGUUGUCAGGGGCCUCGCUUCUCCAGCACAGAGUGACAUCAGAACUCUCUGCCUUACAUAUUGCUAGGAGAAAUGCAGUAUACAGAGGUCUCAAAUGAACCUGGAUGUGAUACAGAUUGAGGGCAGGAUUCCUCUGCUAAUAAAUGAGGAUUUGGCAUGACA